rnacentral:rRNA from 1 species
GACGAACGCUGGCGGCGUGCUUAACACAUGCAAGUCGAACGGAAAGGCCCUGCUUUUGUGGGGUGCUCGAGUGGCGAACGGGUGAGUAACACGUGAGUAACCUGCCCUUGACUUUGGGAUAACUUCAGGAAACUGGGGCUAAUACCGGAUAGGAGCUCCUGCUGCAUGGUGGGGGUUGGAAAGUUUCGGCGGUUGGGGAUGGACUCGCGGCUUAUCAGCUUGUUGGUGGGGUAGUGGCUUACCAAGGCUUUGACGGGUAGCCGGCCUGAGAGGGUGACCGGCCACAUUGGGACUGAGAGACGGCCCAGACUCCUACGGGAAGCAGCAGUGGGGAAUAUUGCACGAUGGGCGGAAGCCUGAUGCAGCAACGCCGCGUGCGGGAUGACGGCCUUCGGGUUGUAAACCGCUUUCGCCUGUGACGAAGCGUGAGUGACGGUAAUGGGUAAAGAAGCACCGGCUAACUACGUG